GAUGAACGCUGGCGGCGUGCCUAAUACAUGCAAGUCGAGCGAACAGACGAGGAGCUUGCUCCUCUGACGUUAGCGGCGGACGGGUGAGUAACACGUGGAUAACCUACCUAUAAGACUGGGAUAACUUCGGGAAACCGGAGCUAAUACCGGAUAAUAUAUUGAACCGCAUGGUUCAAUAGUGAAAGACGGUUUUGCUGUCACUUAUAGAUGGAUCCGCUCCGCAUUAGCUAGUUGGUAAGGUAACGGCUUACCAAGGCAACGAUGCGUAGCCGACCUGAGAGGGUGAUCGGACACACUGGAACUGAGACACGGUCCAGACUCCUACGGGAGGCAGCAGUAGGGAAUCUUCCGAGAUGGGCGAAGGCCUGACGGAGCAACGCCGCGUGAGUGAUGAAGGUCUUCGGAUCGUAAAACUCUGUUAUUAGGGAAGAACAAAUGUGUAAGUAACUAUGCACGUCUUGACGGUACCUAAUCAGAAAGCCACGGCUAACUACG
rnacentral:rRNA from 1 species